GCAUAUCACAGCCCUGCCCUGCGCUACCCUCGAACCCUGCCCCCUGUCAUCCCUCGUGUACGGAUCACAGGUGAGAGUGAGGGAGCAUCUACUCUCUUUUUUUUUUUUCACACAAACUUCUCCAGACGCCUGGGUAUAUAUAGAGAGGGUUGGGCUAUCUCCUUUGGAACUGGGGGAGGGGAUGAUCCAGGGAAUAAAAAAAACAUAAGAUCUCAAUAAAACGGCCUGUCCUCUGACUCUACUUUCCUCCCUCCACCCCUCACAUCUCAUUUUACCCCUAGCACAGACCCAGGUGCCACGCUCGAGUGCACCUGCCGCGCCUCGUCCUUCUACGCCGCUGUCCCACAUGCACCGCUAAAACUGAUUCUUAGAUGCAGCUCUUGACCGCAAUGAACCACCACCGCCCACCGAGCCCCGCUCCUGUGCCUAUGUGGCCGUGGGAGGCACUUUCGGUGCACCACACCUCAGCGCUAGGCUGAGGUGGGCGGGACCCACGGGGCGGAAGAGGCCGGUCUCCGCUGAAAGAGGCCAGGGUGAGACUCCCUUGGUUACAAGGCACGGAGAGUCUCCAAGGGAAGGCACAGCGUGAGGGGCCCAGAGCAGAGGUCUCUGCCCCAGCCAAGGCCUCACGGCAACCCAAGUCAGACCGUGGAGAAACCCAUCACCUGACAGUCUUCAGAGAAGAUGGGGUUUCACUGCCGACGCCCCGGAAACUGGAUCAUGCAGGACCAGCGCCACUCCAGACCAGCACUCCUGUUAUUCUAAGUCAUGAAUGUGACUCAGCUGUAUCUUCCAUCACUGUGGUCUAACGCUAGCAACUUAUUAAUUUUCAUAAGGCCCAAUUUACAUUCUGGGGAAAGAGAGAAACUGUUUAGCUCAGUUCAUUGUAUAUUGUUCAAGUUAUUAUGGUUGUAUAAAAUAUCACUCCAAAACUUAGUGACUUAAAAAAAAACGACAAAAAUAUUCAUAUGCGUAUGAUCUGUAGGACAUGGUAGGAAUGGCUCAUCUCUGUUUUACAUGGUGUCCCCUGGGCCCCUUGAAGGCUCACUUUCUCAUGUUGCCAUCUGAAGGCUCAUUUUCUCAUGUUGCCAUUGAUGCUGGCCGUAGGCCGAGACCUUUGGGCUGCUGGCUGGAAACCCCACAAAUGGCUGUCGUAACCAUGCCUUUCAUUUACUACGUUGUUUUGACAUCUUGGGACCUUGCUGCCCCUGGAGCGUCCGCCCCUCCCAGGCAGGGCGAGCUGUCCUGGAGACACAACAGCUACCUGUGAGCUUGGCUUUCCUCUGCAGGCCAACUAGUCCUCUGCUACUCCUCAAGGGAGCUCUCGCACUCCAGGCCACUGUUCCCUUUCCCUAAUCACCUCAGGGCCAGGUGCCAGACAAAUGAGGACAAUCCCUACACCCCAGCGGCCACUGAAAUUAUUCAUACUAGCUAGUCCUAAACCUGCUUACCCUGUCUCGCAUGUUCCCUUGUCUGUUUUCCUUUCUCCUGCCUCCUGACCUAUGUUGGUGCUUCUGCAUGUGGUUCCCCCAUGGCAUGGCGUGUGCCUCCUUCUCCUGGGAACUACGAGGAUAACAAUUUUUUCCCAGUGGCAGUUGUCUUCUGAUCUAUUGGUUUCACCAUACUUGAAUAAUAAAAAAAAAACCCCAUAUUUUAAAACAA